rnacentral:rRNA from 1 species
UGGGGAAUUUUGGACAAUGGGGGAAACCCUGAUCCAGCCAUCCCGCGUGUGCGAUGAAGGCCUUCGGGUUGUAAAGCACUUUUGGCAGGAAAGAAACGUCAUGGGUUAAUACCCCGUGAAACUGACGGUACCUGCAGAAUAAGCACCGGCUAACUACGUGCCAGCAGCCGCGGCAAUACGUAGGGUGCAAGCGUUAAUCGGAAUUACUGGGCGUAAAGCGGGCGCAGGCGGUUCGGAAAGAAAGAUGUGAAAUCCCAGAGCUCAACUUUGGAACUGCAUUUUUAACUACCGGGCUAGAGUGUGUCAGAGGGAGGUGGAAUUCCGCGUGUAGCAGUGAAAUGCGUAGAUAUGCAGAAGAACACCGAUGGCGAAGGCAGCCUCCUGGGAUAACACUGACGCUCAUGCACGAGAGCGUGGGGAGCAAACAGG